UCACCUUCCCUAACCAAGGACACUUAGGAGGCGGUUUGCACCUCUGCUCGCCGACCAGAGAGUGAGCAGCUCCGAUCACCCUGGUCGGGCAGAUGGACCACAGAGACGGUGGUGCUGCCCAAACCCCAGACGAAGUCGGGGGAGCAAAUAGCCAGAAAGCCCAAUUGGAACUGAGCGAAUCCAAGGUAAAAGUAAAGCACCGAAACUGACUAGAGAGUGGUCCCUUCCACGCGCAUCUUGACGUGUCAGCGGGUUAAAGGACCCACCUGGAAAGCUAGUGAACAUCUGUCGAGGCCCUCCCCUGAGACCUCCUCUAAAACUCCCACCUUUGGAAAACAGGGCCAGGUCUUCAGAGUGCUCUUCAUGCCUGUGACCAUGCUUGACCCUCCCCCACAUCUGGAGGGCCGGAAUGACCGUUCCUGCAGGACUGGAGUGUAAGUGGCCCAAUGGCACACGGUGGUACACGGCAGGGCUGGACUACGUAGAGACUCCCGCUGCUGCUCCGUCCGGAUCCGCCCUCCUUCCUCUCGCCGUUCCAUGAGAGCCCUCUGACCCCUUGGGUUACUGGGCUUGUGACCCCACCUGGAUCAGACUCAGUAAAAGCCAAGACUUUGGCAGAAGUCUUAGGAGGAAGGAACUCUUUCUACUGGAGGUGCAAGCUGCUAGGACAUACACAAGCCAUUCUGCCACCACAGGGAGAAAGGCUGCUGAGAGUGAGGGGCCGUGGAAGAGAGGUGAGCCCGGGUAGGGGAGAGGGACGAAAAAACCAACUCUACAUCAGUCUCUCGAUCAAGUCUCGAGCUGGACACGCCAGAGUCACCAAUGGGCCAGGGCCAAGGAGUCCCAAAGGAACUCUGGUCUGUGUCCUUCAGUGUCGCCCCUUCCUCCAGGAGACUGAACUGUCACCGCCCUGGGGCUGGAGCCCUCAGCCUGGGUGCAGCCUGCGGGCCCUUCAGCACCCAGCCCGGCUUCCUCCACAGAGGUGCCUCACCCACCUCACCUCACCCCACCCAGGCACCGCCAGACACUUGCUUCUCUGCCGAACGGCCUUCAAUUCCCUGAAUGCGCCCCAAGGCAGGGGCUACCUAGGCCAGCUGGUCCCCAGCCGGGGUUUCAGCAGAACGCCCUCGGGCCCUCCGUGCCCCUGCCCGCUCUGCUCACCUUGAUCAUGCUGUACAGGGACUUCUCAUACUUGGUGCGGAAGAUCUCCCGGAUGUCAAGCAUGUCCAGCUCGCUACGGGAGACCAUGAUGCGGAUCAGGGUGUUGUCCCGAGUCCCCAGGCCCUGGAAGACAGGUGCCCUGACCAGAGAUUGAACCUAAAACUUUGGUGUUUCAGGACAACGUUCUAACCAGCUGAGCUACCUGGCCAGGGCCCGUUUUGGACUUCGUCACUAUGCCACUGUGUAUUUGUCUUCCCUGCUACUCCUGAUGGACACCAACUUGUUUCUAGUCUUCCAGACACGGACAAUGCUGACUGCUGACGGGUGGCCCUCCUGCUUUUACCUCCACCUGUGGCCCCUGGCGACAAACGCCUGUUGCUCACUUACCCUGUGUGCUAUGGGAAUGUCAUCGGUUUCUGUGAGUCCCGUGUGUGAAGUUUGGGAAGUGGCGUUGUCGGUGCGCCCAGAGUGAAACCACUGGGUCACGAGUGAGCACCAUGACCCCCAGCAGACAAUGCCAAAGAGCUUUUCCCUUACCUACGUCCUCCCCAUAUCAAUGUUCCGAUUAAUUAAUAUUUGCAUAAAGUGUGACUUCCAACCCUCAGGCGGCACGGACGGGGCGCUGGCUGUCACAGGGCAGGUGUUCGGUGGGAGGUGUGUGACCACGCGGCGUCCCAGGCUCUGGAGCUCACGGGGACAAAGGGCCCUCACCCUGACCCAUGGCCGGUCCUUGAAGGAUCCCUUUGGCCAGUGGCCCAUAAGGACAUGCCCAAGAGUCCCAACAGCCCUGGCGGGCAGGCAGAGACCCCCUUGCCCAAUCUCAUUCACACCAAACCCAUCACGCACCUUCAUGGCCUUGAAGAGCCUUUCCGCGAAAUACUCUGGGGUGCUCCGGAUACACUUCACUGAGGAGAAGAAGAGCUGGUUACCUGGCUGCCUCAGAAGGAGGAUGGGGUGACCCGACCCCUCCUUCUCCGUGUUUCUGCCUUCGGGGGCCACAAGUUCAAACCCAGGAAGAACUCUGGCUCCUGACAGCCUGCCGCCUUUUAUCCCAAACACAGGGGAUAAGGAAAUCUGGAAACGGGCCUGUUAUCUGGGCCCUUUUUAAAGAUCAAACCCUCAGCACGGGGCCUGGCACACGACACAGUGCCCGCGCCACAGAACCUGCCCUCCCGGUCACUAUUUCCUGACCUCGCCCCCCACCCCACACGCCGGAGGAGGGGGCAGGGGAAACUCAGUGCCGAGGCGCAGCUCCCCGCUUCCCCCACCUCGGCCCUGCUGCGCUGGCCGCACCUCUCGAGUUCACUGCUCACCGGCUUCUAGCUUUUCCUUCUCCACACCACAGAAUCCCCCUUUUCCGUUCUGGCCCCUCGUUCCUGGGCCAGGACCCCAGAGCCCUCGGAGCCCAGAACGCAGCGGCAGGACGUACCCACGGCCAGCAUCAGCUUCUCGAAGUCCCCGGACAGCUCCCCCCUGAUGCUCGCUUCGAUGGGCUUCCCCGUGGUCUUCAGAUACUCAUCGAACACUGGGUGAGACAGAGUCGGGGACAUUGGGGACGCCCCCGCGCCACCGAGGACAACCAGGGACAUCAGAGGGGGGGGACGCAGCGCCCCGAAUGGGAGUGCCAGCAGGAAGGGAGGGCUGGUACUUUGGGAGGGGGCUGGGAGGUCACGUAUGUCACCAGCCACUGCGCCAUCACGCUGCGUGUGCUGUGACGGGCUGUGCACACCUCAUGCUCCAGUAGGAAGAAAGACUGGUGUUUAGAUGAUGGAACCCAGCACACUGUUAAUGACUUUGGUGAAGGGCCACACAAACCACGGUCUAAUAAAAUCAGGACUAGUUUUGGGUUGCUGCAGAGAUAGCUGUCGUGCUCCACUAGUAGAAAAGGAAAAGAGAAUGGACUUCUUGGCACAACCCAAGGGGCAGCUGUAGUGUUUUCUGGUGCUUACCCAAACGAAGAUGCUGCUUGCUGCGAUUUCCCAAAAUGUAAAUGAACUGGGCUUCAUCUGUUCCCCAUUUCAGUUCCCCAGCCUCGUACAGGUCCUGAAGGGGAAGAGUGGGUGCUAACUGAAAGAGGAAACCUCAGGGGAUAGGAAUCUCUGGCCAAGCCCCUCAGAAUUGAUGUUAAAUCCCUGAGCAUGCCAUGCCAGUAACUGGUGGCCUCAGGACCUUUGCACAUACCUUCUGCCCUGUCUUCCUGGAAAAACUACUCAACCUUCAAGUCCUAUUUGUUCUCAAACACUUCCAGAUGCCCCCUGACAAAGCUGUGUCCCUCCCUCCCUCUCUCUUCUAGCCUCCUGUAGCUGUUUGUUUACAGCUCUGAUCCACUGUACAAUACAAUGAUUUCUUUCUAUGCCCAUCUCUCCACUCUGACGUGGACUUCUCCAGGACAGGGACUAUGUCUGAGCAUUCUCAACGUCUGCCCCCGCAGCGUAACUGGAACACAGUGGGGCUCCAAACAGCCGGACGGUAUGCUGUGUCCAGGGAGAAGGUGUUUCUGUGAUUAACACAAGCCUGUCUCUCCUAGUGCUGUCUGAUUUUGUUCAUUAGUGAUUCUCCAAUGCUUGGCAGAGUGCCUGGCAGAGAGUAGGUAUUCAACAAAUACUAACAAACUGAAUAAGUGAAAAACUGAUGAAAGCUCCAAAAUACACCUUACCAACUUUACGUAAGUUGUAUACCUUGGAAAGACAACAUAAACCUUUUCUCUAGUAAAGCACCACAUAGAUGA